rnacentral:rRNA from 1 species
UACGGAGGAUUCAAGCGUUAUCCGGAUUUAUUGGGUUUAAAGGGUGCGCAGGCGGAAGAUCAAGUCAGCGGUAAAAUUGAGGGGCUCAACCCCUUCCCGCCAUUGAAACUGGCGAUCUUGAGUGGAAGAGAAGUAUGCGGAAUGCGUGGUGUAGCGGUGAAAUGCAUAGAUAUCACGCAGAACCCCGAUUGCGAAGGCAGCAUGCCGGCUUCCUACUGACGCUGAAGCACGAAAGCGUGGGGAUCGAACAGG